AANNNGAAGAACCUUACCCGGGGUUUACAUGUACGUAUUACGAGGUGAACCGAGGACGCUUUUCGGGAGUGGGGAGGCUAGACAGGUGNUGCAUGGCUGUCGUCAGCUCGUGUCGUGAGAUGUUGGNUAAGUCCCGCAACGAGCGCAACCCCUGCAUUCAGUUGCCAACGGUGAGGCCGGGCACUCUGGAUGGACUGCCGGCGACAAGCCGGAGGAAAGGUGGGGGAUGACGUCAAGUCAUCAUGGCCCUUAUGUCCAGGGCGACACACGUGCUACAAUGGCCGGCACAGCGGGAAGCGAAGGGGCGACCCUGAGCGGAUCCCUUAAAGCCGGUCCCAGUUCGGAUUGCAGUCUGCAACUCGACUGCAUGAAGUUGGAAUCGCUAGUAAUCGUGGAUCAGCCAAGCCGCGGUG
rnacentral:rRNA from 1 species